UACGAAGGGGGCUAGCGUUGUUCGGAAUUAUUGGGCGUAAAGAGCUCGUAGGCGGUUUGUCGCGUCUGCUGUGAAAACUGGGGGCUCAACCCCCAGCCUGCAGUGGGUACGGGCAGACUAGAGUGCGGUAGGGGAGAUUGGAAUUCCUGGUGUAGCGGUGGAAUGCGCAGAUAUCAGGAGGAACACCGAUGGCGAAGGCAGAUCUCUGGGCCGUAACUGACGCUGAGGAGCGAAAGCAUGGGGAGCGAACAGG
rnacentral:rRNA from 1 species